AGGGUUUUAGUGGGUUUUGUCGCACAUCAUCUCAGACAGCUGAGCCAUACAACUACAUAACCCGAUAGUACGCUGCCGGAUAUGCAUCAAAUGCAUUUUCCUCCCUCGCGCGCGUGAAUAAAGGUCCGAACGCCGUGCGUGCGAUGCGACAAGAAACAAAUCAGUUCGAAUUACAUCGGACCGACAUUGGUGAGUCGUACGACAAGGUCUAUAUACGACCGGUCGUCGAAUACUACAUAUUUGCGACUGGUUAACUUUCAAGAUACCUUUGUCUAUAACACUUAUAUAGUAAUUAAUCAGGUCCAAGUAUAUUAAGUUUGGUGGAGUGACAAGAAAUUGAAUCAGAAAAUUCAAUUUAAUAUCCAACAAUUAAAAAAUAAACAUCUUCUUCACACCUUCCAUCAUAAAUUAUUAUUAUUAUUCAUAUACAAUAUUUAUGUAUAGUAAAGAAAAAGCAUAUAUAAUAACAAAUGAAAUUAUAAGAUCAUCAAUUUAGAAAAAAAAAAAAAGAACAAAAUCAUACAAUGAUAUUUUUUUCCUAUCACGCUCGUUUUAUUCCUUUCUCACAUACACACAUACAACUUUUUAUCUCUUUCGUCCUCUUUUCUUCAACGAGUUACUUCAAUUUUUAUUUCUCAUUGCGCAUUAAAUUAUACCAUUAGAAGGACAUCGAAUCGAGCCAAAAAAUAUUUUUCUCCCUAGAUUGUUCCUAUGGAUUUACCGAUCUUCCAUUGGUCUCGUCGAAUAAGAAGAGGAAAAACAAGGAAUGUUCAUCUCUCGUGAUUUUACAUUUUGUAACAUACUUCGUGUGUGAGAACUCGGACUGCAGUGUUAACAAAAUCAUAAUGCUUGCAACGUUCAAAAUCUCCCCAUAAAAUAACGUUAAAGAUUUUAAAUAUACCUUGAAAACAGGGACAAGU